rnacentral:rRNA from 1 species
GACGAACGCUGGCGGCGUGCCUAACACAUGCAAGUCGAACGGGACCGGGGGCAACUCCGGUUCAGUGGCGGACGGGUGCGUAACACGUGAGGAACAUGACUUUCGGUGGGGGAUAGCCGGCCCAACGGCCGGGUAAUACCGCGUACGACCUGUUGGGGACAUCCCCGACCGGUGAAAGCAGCAAUGCGCCGAAAGAGGGCCUCGCGGCCUAUCAGCUAGUUGGUGGGGUAACGGCCCACCAAGGCGACGACGGGUAGCUGGUCUGAGAGGAUGGCCAGCCACAUUGGGACUGAGACACGGCCCAGACUCCUACGGGAGGCAGCAGUGGGGAAUAUUGCGCAAUGGGCGAAAGCCUGACGCAGCGACGCCGCGUGUGGGAUGACGGCCUUCGGGUUGUAAACCACUGUCGGGAGGGACGAAUGCGCCGCAAGGCGAGUGACGGUACCUCCAAAGGAAGCACCGGCUAACUCCGUGCCAGCAGCCGCUGUAACAC